rnacentral:rRNA from 1 species
GACAGAGGGGGCAAGCGUUGCUCGGAAUCACUGGGCGUAAAGGGCGCGUAGGCGGGAUGGCAAGUCGGUCGUGAAAUCCUUCGGCUCAACCGAAGAACGUCGGCCGAUACUGCCGUUCUUGAGGGAUGCAGAGGAGACUGGAAUUCCUGGUGUAGCGGUGAAAUGCGCAGAUAUCAGGAGGAACACCGGUGGCGAAGGCGGCUCUCUGGUCCAUUACUGACGCUGAGGUACGAAAGCUAGGGGAGCAAACGGG